GUACGUGAAACCGUUCAGGGGUAAACGGGAGAAAUCCUGAAUUCGAAAGGGUUGGAUUCAAGUUUGCCGGGCAUCGGGUCACGUACCCCGUAUGAGAAUGCUGGUCGCCCACGGUGAUUUAUUUUGCUUGUGGUGUCGUUACUGGAACUCAACUGGAUGUGGUGUUGCUCCGGUAACCCGGCAGAGUGCACUUCUGCCCUAGUAGAAACGUCGCGACCCGUUGGGUGCCGGUCUAAGGCCUGGGUGGCAGACCACGUGUCCUGAGCGUUGUAACGCUCAGGCGGGUGGACUCCUGGUGACCCGGCCGGCUGCUCGACGGUAUGACCAGAGGAGUCGAUCCGCUAAAAAUGGGAAACACUAUGGUUGUGUAGCGUCCGGCCCGGCGCCAACACGCGGGGGUGGUGGAAUCCGGGGGUGUCCGUGCAGAUUCACGGGCCCGGUCCCGCUGCGUUGUUGGAUGUCGGUGUCCUCGGACUGGAUCAGUACUCCCGUCGGCGACGAUCACCUUCGGAUGG
rnacentral:rRNA from 1 species